UACGUAGGGUGCGAGCGUUAAUCGGAAUUACUGGGCGUAAAGCGUGCGCAGGCGGUUAUGUAAGACAGUUGUGAAAUCCCCGGGCUCAACCCGGGAACUGCGUCCGAGACUGGCAGGCUCGAAUCCGGGAGAGGGAUGUGGAAUUCCAGGUGUAGCGGUGAAAUGCGUAGAUAUCUGGAGGAACACCGGUGGUGUAGACGGCUUUCUGGACCGUAACUGACGCUGAGACACGAAAGCGUGGGUAGCAAACAGG
rnacentral:rRNA from 1 species